GUGGGGAAUAUUGGACAAUGGGCGCAAGCCUGAUCCAGCAAUGCCGCGUGUGUGAAGAAGGCCUGCGGGUUGUAAAGCACUUUCAGUGGGGAAGAAGCGCCUGGGGCGAAUAGUUCUGGGUGGUGACGUUACCCACAGAAGAAGCACCGGCUAACUCCGUGCCAGCAGCCGCGGUAAUACGGAGGGUGCGAGCGUUAAUCGGAAUCACUGGGCGUAAAGGGCACGUAGGCGGCUUGAUAAGUCAGGUGUGAAAUCCCUGGGCUCAACCUGGGAAUGGCAUUUGAUACUGUCGAGCUAGAGUCUGGUAGAGGGAGGUGGAAUUCCAGGUGUAGCGGUGAAAUGCGUAGAGAUCUGGAGGAACACCGGUGGCGAAGGCGGCCUCCUGGGCCAAGACUGACGCUGAGGUGCGAAAGCGUGGGGAGCAAACAG
rnacentral:rRNA from 1 species